GGAGGGAUGACAGAGCGGCCGAAUGUUCCGGUCUUGAAAACCGGCGUGGGUUUUCCCACCGUGGGUUCAAAUCCCACUCCCUCCGCCA
rnacentral:tRNA from 1 species